rnacentral:rRNA from 1 species
CGGAAUUGCUAGUAAUCGUAGGUCAGCAUACUACGGUGAAUACGUUCCCGGGCCUUGUACACACCGCCCGUCAAACCAUGAGAGUUGGCAACACCCGAAGUCGGUAGUCUAACCGCAAGGAGGACGCCGCCGAAGGUGGGGUUGAUGAUUAGGGUUAAGUCGUAACAAGGUAAC